rnacentral:rRNA from 1 species
GGCCUGGUUGGGUGGUCUUGCCGCAAGGUAAGCACUGCUCCGAUCGGGUCUUUCCUUCUGGGGAACCAGCGUGCUCUUAAUUGGGUGCGCUGGGGAUCCAGGACUUUUACUUUGAAAAAAUUAGAGUGUUCAAAGCAGGCCUAUGCCCGAAUACAUUAGCAUGGAAUAAUAAAAUAGGAC